rnacentral:lncRNA from 1 species
AACUACUCACGCAUCAUCGAAAGGGAAAUGGUGUUGAUGUAGAAGCCCUCCAUCUCCGGAUCCCUCUCCAGCAGAGUACCGGAACGGUCUCCAGAUGGGAUCUCGCGGAAGCAGAGGCUUGCAGCGGCGGAAAAGUAAACGCGGCUCUCUUUUCUUCCGUGGCACGAUUUAUCAGAAUUUAUAGGCGGAGGAAGUAGGGCACCGGAGCCACGUG